UUCUUUUAGAUUACAUAAUAAAAAUAAUAAAGAUAAAUUAUAUAAAAGUAAGAUCCAAGUGCGGACAUAAAUCAGAUAUUGAGCAUAGGACGUUCUGAAUAGAACAUCCGUUUUAAUUCCAAUAAUGGAUAUCCUAUGAAUGUCUAUUUUAUGUCCAUGGACAUGUGGACCUGAAUUGGACUUAACAUGGACGUACUUGGAACAUCCAGUGCUAUUUGGGUGAGGACUUAUGUGGAAAAGCGACACUUCUUUCUUUUUUCCAAAGAACAUGAUAAGUACAACACUAAUUUUAAGAAUUAUUCACUUCAUCAUUUUAUUAAUUGUUUACUUUAAUUGAUUAUUAUAUAUGAUAUAUACAGAUGGUUGGCAUGGGUUCAAGCAUGCAGAAGAUUUGAUUUACUACCAAAAGGUUCAGAGUAUGCAAACCGCAAUUGUCGCUUGUGCCAUAUACAUUUUGAUGAAAAAGAUUAUAAAAUCAAAGAACGAGCUCGCCUUCAUCCAGAUACCGUGCCAACAAGAUUUUUGGAAUUGACAGAUAAUAAGUAAGCUUUUAUUUAUAUUAAUUUUAAUUGCUUUUUAUUAUAAAUAAUUUAGUUUUGAUAACUAAAAAUAUUUUUGUACAUAAAGAAAUAUAAAAAUAAUUGAAAAAUUAUUUCACAGCAGUGCUACUUCUUUUUUAGAUCGACGAUGGAAAACCAAGAAAAUUAUAAUAUAAGCACAAUAAUAGAUACGAAUCAUUGCAACGCCUUAAGCAAUGAACAACAUAUUUCAACGGAUAAUGUACAAGAAGAAACAACUAGGAGUGUCAAAUAAAGAAAAAUAUAUAAUUUUUUGAUACAAUAAUGAUAAUCUAUUUCACUAUUACAAUCCACAUUAUCUUAUGGGAUAACAUUUUUAUAUUAUAAUAAAUUAAAAGUUUAUUCUGAAUUUUAUAAUUAUGCAAAGAUAUUUCUUUUAAUUUUCAAGCUGAACAAAGUUUUUUAAUAUCUUCAUUGUAGAUAUAAUCAUCUAGACUAUUUUAUACAAUUUUAGGGUAAUUUGAAAAAAAAUAAAAAAAUUCAUUAUUUU